AGAGUUUGAUCAUGGCUCAGAACGAACGCUGGCGGCAGGCCUCAAACAUGCAAGUCUAGGGGGUGUAGCAAUACAUCACCGGCGGACGGGUGCGUAACACGUGGGAAUAUACCUUUUGGUUCGGAACAACGCAGGGAAACUUGCGCUAAUACCGAAUGUGCCCUUACGGGGAAAGAUUUAUCGCCAAAGGAUUAGCCCGCGUCCGAUUAGCUAGUUGGUGAGGUAAUGGCUCACCAAGGCUCCGAUCGGUAGCUGUUCUGAGAGGAAGAUCAGCCACACUGGGACUGAGACACGGCCCAGACUCCUACGGGAGGCAGCAGUUGGGAAUCUUGGACAAUGGGGGAAACCCUGAUCCAGCCAUGCCGCGUGAGUGAUGAAGGCCUUCGGGUUGUAAAACUCUUUCGACGGGGACGAUAAUGACGGUACCCGUAGAAGAAGCUCCGGCUAACUUCGUGCCAGCAGCCGCGGUAAUACGAAGGGGGCUAGCGUUGUUCGGAAUUACUGGGCGUAAAGCGCGCGCAGGCGGUCUUCCAAGUCAGUGGUGAAAGCCCGGAGCUCAACUCCGGAACUGCCAUUGAAACUGUAAGACUUGAGGAUGAGAGAGGUGAGUGGAAUUCCCAGUGUAGAGGUGAAAUUCGUAGAUAUUGGGAAGAACACCGGUGGCGAAGGCGGCUCACUGGCUCAUAUCUGACGCUCAGGCGCGACAGCGUGGGGAUCAAACAGGAUUAGAUACCCUAGUAGUCC
rnacentral:rRNA from 1 species